rnacentral:rRNA from 1 species
GAUCCUGGCUCAGGAUGAACGCUGGCGGCGUGCUUAACACAUGCAAGUCGAACGAAGCGCUUUACCGGAUCUCUUCGGAAUGAAAGUUUUGUGACUGAGUGGCGGACGGGUGAGUAACGCGUGGGUAACCUGCCUCAUACAGGGGGAUAACAGUUAGAAAUGACUGCUAAUACCGCAUAAGACCACAGGACCGCAUGGCCCAGUGGUAAAAACUCCGGUGGUAUGAGAUGGACCCGCGU